rnacentral:rRNA from 1 species
GGUUAAGCGACUAAGCGUACACGGUGGAUGCCUAGGCAAUCAGAGGCGAUGAAGGACGUGCUAAUCUGCGAUAAGCGUCGGUAAGGUGAUAUGAACCGUUAUAACCGACGAUUUCCGAAUGGGGAAACCCAGUGCAAUUCGUUGCACUAUCGUUAACUGAAUACAUAGGUUAACGAGGCGAACCGGGGGAAC